UCUGGAUCAGUAGCUCAGUGGUGGAGCACUUGCCUGGCAUGUAUGAAGCCCUGGAUUCAAUCCCCAGCACCAGAA
rnacentral:tRNA from 1 species